GGGGGUAUGGCUCAGUUGGCUAGAGCACCUGCCUUGCAAGCAGGGGGUCAUCGGUUCGAAUCCGAUUAUCUCCACCA
rnacentral:tRNA from 2 species